GACGAACGCUGGCGGCGUGCUUAACACAUGCAAGUCGAACGGUAAGGCCCUUUCGGGGGUACACGAGUGGCGAACGGGUGAGUAACACGUGGGUGAUCUGCCCUGCACUUUGGGAUAAGCCUGGGAAACUGGGUCUAAUACCGGAUAGGACUACGCGAUGCAUGUCGUGUGGUGGAAAGCUUUUGCGGUGUGGGAUGGGCCCGCGGCCUAUCAGCUUGUUGGUGGGGUGAAGGCCUACCAAGGCGACGACGGGUAGCCGGCCUGAGAGGGUGUCCGGCCACACUGGGACUGAGAUACGGCCCAGACUCCUACGGGAGGCAGCAGUGGGGAAUAUUGCACAAUGGGCGCAAGCCUGAUGCAGCGACGCCGCGUGGGGGAUGACGGCCUUCGGGUUGUAAACCCCUUUCAGCACAGACGAAGCGUAAGUGACGGUAUGUGCAGAAGAAGCACCGGCCAACUACGU
rnacentral:rRNA from 1 species